CCUACGGGGGGCAGCAGUGAGGAAUAUUGGUCAAUGGCCGGAAGGCUGAACCAGCCAUGCCGCGUGAAGGUCAGUGCCCUAUGGGCGUUAAACUUCUUUUGUGCGGGAGCAAUAAUGGUCACGUGUGGCCAGACGAGAGUACCGUACGAAUAAGCAUCGGCUAACUCCGUGCCAGCAGCCGCGGUAAUACGGGGGAUGCAAGCGUUAACCGGAUUUAUUGGGUUUUAAGGGUGCGUAGGCUGGGAGGUAAGUCAGCGGUGAAAUGCCCCCGCUCAACGGGGUGAAGUGCCAUUGAUACUGCCUGGCUGGAAUGCGGAUGCCGUGGGAGGAAUGUGUGGUGUAGCGGUGAAAUGCAUAGAUAUCACACAGAACACCGAUUGCGAAGGCAUCUCACGAAUCCGCGAUUGACGCUGAUGCACGAAAGCGUGGGUAUCAAACAGGAUUAGAUACCCCAGUAGUC
rnacentral:rRNA from 1 species